UUGAACGCUGGCGGCAUGCUUUACACAUGCAAGUCGAACGGUAACAGGUUAAGCUGACGAGUGGCGAACGGGUGAGUAAUGCAUCGGAACGUGCCCGAUCGUGGGGGAUAACGCAGCGAAAGCUGCGCUAAUACCGCAUACGAUCUGAGGAUGAAAGCGGGGGACCGUAAGGCCUCGCGCGAUCGGAGCGGCCGAUGUCGGAUUAGCUAGUUGGCGAGGUAAAGGCUCACCAAGGCAACGAUCCGUAGCGGGUCUGAGAGGAUGAUCCGCCACACUGGGACUGAGACACGGCCCAGACUCCUACGGGAGGCAGCAGUGGGGAAUUUUGGACAAUGGGCGCAAGCCUGAUCCAGCCAUGCCGCGUGAGUGAAGAAGGCCUUCGGGUUGUAAAGCUCUUUCGGCGGGGAAGAAAUCGCACGGGUUAAUACCCUGUGUGGAUGACGGUACCCGAAUAAGAAGCACCGGCUAACUACGU
rnacentral:rRNA from 1 species